CAGCAUGCUAACUGUAGUGUUACUUUGUAGUCUAUGAGCCAGUUAUCAAAUUUUGACUUAAUUGGUACUACGCAAGGUGAUGAAACGACACUUAGAAUCCAGCCUCAGUGUACCAUGGCCUACACAAAAAUGUAUGAUAACCAUCAUAGGGUAUUAGCUGUAGCCAGCGAAGAAUUAGAGGUCAGAAUGUAAAAAUGCUUCAAUCAUGUUGAAAACUAUACUACAUUAUUUGUCUGAUCAUAAUUCCAAAAAGGUAUAGUUUGGACUAUCUAUGAUGGAUUGUUCUGGAGUUAUGGGG